rnacentral:rRNA from 1 species
AUUGAACGCUGGCGGCAGGCUUAACACAUGCAAGUCGAGCGGGGGAGGUUGCUUCGGUAACUGACCUAGCGGCGGACGGGUGAGUAAUGCUUAGGAAUCUGCCUAUUAGUGGGGGACAACAUUCCGAAAGGGAUGCUAAUACCGCAUACGCCCUACGGGGGAAAGCAGGGGAUCUUCGGACCUUGCGCUAAUAGAUGAGCCUAAGUCGGAUUAGCUAGUUGGUGGGGUAAAGGCCUACCAAGGAGACGAUCUGUAGCGGGUCGGAGAGGAUGAUCCGCCACGCUGGGACUGACACACGGCCCAGACUCCUACGGGAGGCAGCAGUGGGGAAUAUUGGACAAUGGGCGGAAGCCUGAUCCAGCCAUGCCGCGUGCGUGAAGAAGGCCUUUUGGUUGUAAAGCACUUUAAGCGAGGAGGAGGCUCUUAAGGUUAAUACCCUUGAUGAGUGGACGUUACUCGCAGAAUAAGCACCGGCUAACUCUGUGCCAGCCGCCGCAGUAACAC